UACAGGGGGUGCAAACGUUGCUCGGAAUUAUUGGGCGUAAAGCGCGCGCAGGCGGUUUCUUAAGUCUGAUGUGAAAGCCCACGGCUCAACCGUGGAGGGUCAUUGGAAACUGGGGAACUUGAGUGCAGAAGAGAAAAGCGGAAUUCCACGUGUAGCGGUGAAAUGCGUAGAGAUGUGGAGGAACACCAGUGGCGAAGGCGGCUUUUUGGUCUGUAACUGACGCUGAGGCGCGAAAGCGUGGGGAGCAAACAGA
rnacentral:rRNA from 1 species